CGUGGAAACCUGCGCCCCGGAGGCGGGGGCCAGCCCUGCUGCCCGCCCCGCGCCUGUCUCAUUCAUCUGGGGCGUGAUUGCACUGACUUGGGUGCACCUGGGGUGGCAUCUCAGGUUAUAGAUUUGGCUACAAUGGCAAUCAGUAACAAAGACCCCAUGACCACUCUCCUACAAUGUGACUUUUCAUUGGGGGGCAAAAUAAUGUCACCCGUUUGUCUGUAGACCCACACUCUCCGGAUCGCUCACCCUCCGACAAGCUCACGGGAGCACACAGAGGUCGGUGCAUUUGCACUCCCAGUCGCAAAUCAAGAAGUAAUUAUAGAAGAAGCCUUCUAGCGCCUCACACCGUCACACCUCCGACAGGAGCCGUGAAACGGCAAGAAACAGUUGCCCCAGCUGUGUCUGCAAACCGACUGCACCGGAAGCAGAGACCAGAGGGUCCGCACUUGUCCCUGGACACGAGGCAUGGCCAGGUCUAGAUGAUCUGUCUGUGCUUAAAAGCGCACAGAAAAAGAAACAAGAGAAAGAUGGAGAGGAGAAAGGGGAGCUGUUCAAAUUCCAAACAUCUGGCAAAGAGCCCAGCUCCAGCUCACCCUACCUUCAGAUGAUGAUACUGAAAGUAACCCCAUCUCGGAAGUUCAUGGAAUUAACAAAGAGGAAGGGGAAGGGGCAGGGACAUUGAUGUCUAUUGAAAGCUUUAUUUAUUCCAGGCUGUGGGCUGGGGAUCUAGCGUACCACAAUCUCAUUAACCUUCGUGACAAUCCUAUCACCAUCACUUCAGCUGCAUUAUCUACUGCAGCUUCGUAAACCACCCUGAGCCUCAGUGGCUCCCAGUUCUGUGGGUGGACCGUGCUCAGCUGGGCAGUUCUCGCCUGGGGCCUCUCAUGUGGUCGCUGUCAGAUGGCAGCUGGGGUUGGAGUCAUCCGAAUGCUCACCUGGGCUGGACACCACGACGGCUUCUUCACGCACACGACUGCAUUUCAGCUGGAACGCCAGGACAGCUGGGACUCGCCAGCCUCUCCCUCUAUCCGGCCUCUCCAAUGGCAACUCAGGCGCCUUCUUAGCAUGGUGGGCGACUUCCUGUAGAGUGAGAAUUCUAAGACAGGAACCAGAGGCUGCCAGUCUGGUGAGGCUCCUGCAUGGAAGCUGCCUCUUUCCAGAAGGACAGACGUUGGUGUGGUCGGCAGCUUCCCAACACCUGGUCCAUUGCUCCUUUGCCUUUCGUGGUAGUUUGGAGAGGACUGACGGACUGGUAAGGAAAGGGUGGCUGCCUGUGAUGUGGAUUGUAAAGGAGCAGGAAACAGGAAGUGUGCCUCCUUCAUCUGUUUGUAAUCAUCUUUUUCAAUUUUAAAAAAAUUAAAAAGAACCGUGAUUUGGA